GUUCUCUUCAACAGCUCAUAUACUAAAAUAGGAACGAUACAGAAAAGAUAGAAUGGUCCCCCUACAAGGAUGACAUGCAAAUUUGUGAAGCAUUCCAUAUUAAG